UAGCAACUUCCUCUGAGAUGAAAACCUUCCGCUUUGGAAAAAAGCUCGAGAUGAAGAAUAUUUUUAGAAGGGAGAGAAAGGCAAGCCACUCGGCAGCCACCCAUGAUGUAGCAGUAGAUAUGGCCGACGUACCAUAUCAUCUUCAUCCUCGGAUUCCCUCUGAGCUCCUGCUCUGUACAGCUGCUUCAGAUAAACGAAGAAGGAUCCACAGACCCACGGAUUCACAGAUCCACGGACCCACAGAUCCAAAGAUCCACUGAUCAACUGUGAGCAUUCUCCUCUUGGAUGAUUUAACCACAUGGUAGCAGGUGGGGCCUGACGGGAGCCUUCGGGCCACUAGAAGACUGAGGACCUGCCACACUCUGGGGCAGCUCCUAUGGACGGUCAGGAAUGGUUCCUAGCCCUUACCUGAUGGUCACGCCCUCCGUAACUCCAGUUCCUGCUGAUCCGGCGCCCUCUUCCGGUUUCUACAGGCACUAGGCACGCAGUACACUUCCGUACAGGA